rnacentral:lncRNA from 1 species
UAGAUAUUUUUCUGCCUCAUUUACUAAAAUAAAUAAAAUAGUUAAAUAGUUAUUCGGGUUUUUCCAAUCAAGAUGCUGCUUCUUACGUAUCCUUUCUUUUUAUUUUCUUUUCUCUAAUAUCUUUUGGAGGACUGUGAUAUGAAAGAAAGAUCAUCGGACUACAAGGUAAAGGAUAAAUCUGAGACACAGAUUUGCUCUUUUCUAACUGGGUGACCUUUUGAGCAAGUUAUUUCACUUCUCUGGCCUAAGUAAAAAUGGGAUAUUGGAUAAGAUGUUUCCAGAAAUCCCUUACUUCUAAGGUUCUAUGAUCUCCACUGGAGAUGGGCUAAAUUUUCCUACUACUCCCCUGGUCAAAAACCUAAAAUGAUUCUCUGCAGUCUACUAUAUCAAACAAUAAACUGCUAUACCAGCUCACCACAAUUAGUCCUCACCCAGGCCUCUGUCCAUGACUUACUUUUAAUGUGCUUCCUCUAUCUCAGGUAUGUGGCACGCGCCAUCCUCUAGCCAGAUGUGACACUUUCUCAUGCCACUGCUCUCCUAGGUCAUGCAGGUAUGCCUCUCACUCACUCCAACCAAACCUCGCCCUCCUGGCCUGCAGAGGUACAUCUCCUUGAGACCUCCUCAGACCACCUUGGCCCACCUUGACUUUCUCAGAUUCUAAGUGGCUCAGUGAAAUUAAGGAGAAGAUGGAUUUAUUUAAAAAUAGAGUUAAGAGGAGAUGAUAACAAGAGAAGAAAUGAAAAGGAAGCUGGCAGAACCAAGAAAAGAUGUUAAGGAGAAAAAUAAAACCAUUGCGCAACUGAAGACCGCAUUUCUGGAGGCUAGAAGUCCAAAUUCAACUUUAUUGGGCUGAAAUCAAAGAGUCAGGAGGAUACCUGUGAUGGCAUUUAGGCCCACCUGGGUGAGCCAGGACACUCUCUCCAUCUCAAGAUCCUUACUUGAAUCACAUCUGCAAAGCCCUCUUUCUGCCAGGCAAGAAGCAGGAUUGCAGGCCACCUUUUGCAGGCCCAGCCCAGGUUUGGAACAAGGCUUCCUCUGCAAAAGCUGGAUGCUGUGAGCUCUGUCAGCUGCAAUGCUCUACCCCACACCUGCCUGGGUUUCCGGAGUGCAUACUCUAUUUGGGAGCAAUGCCUGCCUUGAACUCCAACAGUAUUUUGUCAGCAUCUUUCCCCAAAGACUAAACUCUACAGCCUAUAUCAAGUAUCAGCCACUGGAGAAAGCCGAGAAAUGGAGAAAUUGAGAAACUUGGCAACACAUCCAGUAAAGAGCUGAAGCUUUUAUAACAGCACAAUACAGGAACAAAAAGGAUAGCUUUGGGGAAUGCCAGCCUUUCCAAGGUAAGUUAUCAAAUGUCAGUGUGAACAAUCAUCAACACUGGAAAAAGAAAUUGUUUAAUUCUCAUAAGCUAACAAAAUGAAUAUGACAUACCAUUUCCCAUGCUACCUAGGUGAAGCAUGCAAGUUGAAUAGUCAUAGCAAUGCUAGUA